rnacentral:ncRNA from 1 species
GAUAACUGGCUUGUGGCAGCAAAGCGUUCAUAGCGACGUUGCCUUUUGAUCCUUGGACG